rnacentral:rRNA from 1 species
UACGAAGGGGGCUAGCGUUGCUCGGAAUCACUGGGCGUAAAGCGCACGUAGGCGGCUUCUUAAGUCAGGGGGUGAAAUCCUGGAGCUCAACUCCAGAACUGCCUUUGAUACUGAGGAGCUUGGAGUCCGGGAGAGGUGAGUGGAACUGCGAGUGUAGAGGUGAAAUUCGUAGAUAUUCGCAAGAACACCAGUGGCGAAGGCGGCUCACUGGCCCGGUACUGACGCUGAGGUGCGAAAGCGUGGGGAGCAAACAGGAUUAAGA